rnacentral:lncRNA from 1 species
UCUUAUUUUAAUUUUAUUGUUUUGCUCACGAAAUGGCCUUGAAACAAUAGCACUGAUUUACCAGCAGCAUAUUUGACUUAAGCUUCUGACAUAGUAAGUGAUCAAUCUUUUCCAGUAGUACAGUUUUCAUAUCCUUUACUGCAGGUUUCUUCCUUUUUAAAAAAAAAAUGAUACAGGAUCAAGGUACAAGCUAGAGAAGAAUGGAGUAAUUUUCAAUAUGAAUAUAAUGGUAGAGAUUAUUUGCAAUAUGAAUAAUGCUGACAGUCUGGAACUCAAGUAAUGUGAUCCUGUAUAAUAUUUAGGAUUGACUACCAAGACUUCACAGCAUAGAAGGCUGACAAUUAACUUUUUUCUUAUGGCAAAAUAAAAAUGCACAAAGCUAAUAAGUGUCUCUGGAACUAUUGUGAAAUGGCCCAACUAUGUUUGGUGUUCAGGGUUUGUUCACACUAUUCAAGGUAAAUUGAAUUUACUAGAUAAUUCAGAAAUUUCCCCAAUCUUGCUGCUCAACUCUCUUUCCCCUCUCUCCCUACAUCACAUAAAGACUGAUACCCUACAAUAAAUAUAAAUGAGGACAUGAAAGAGGACCAGCAGACACAAAAUGGAAAUACUCACAUUGAUGUGAUCAUAAGUCCAUUGGUAUAUUGGAUCUUGGAAACAGUGUCUGCUGAGCAGAACUACUAAUAAAUAUGAAGUUAGAGCUUUCUAAACCCUAAACUUUGGGUUUAGGGUUUAAAUCCUAAAUUUACCCUAAAUUAGGGUAAAUUCUAAAUUCCUGUGGCAUAAAAGAGGUAAUCAGUUUACUUUAAUAAAAUGGAAAAAAGCAAAUAACACAUUAACAUGUUGCCCCCUACUGUUAUAAACUGAGGAAUAACAGGGUUUUUUGUUUUUUGUUUUUUGUUAUACAUUUCAUUUAGUAUUAAUGAUAUGGUUUCUUUAAGUGCAGCAAGUUCUUCGUGGUUCAAUUAACAAUUUAUCAUUAUAUUUAGAACCACCUAGUGAUUUGUGAUAGAGACAGAACUGAAAUUUUUGCUUUGGAAAUCACUCCUCGUUUUAGACUUCUCUUUCCAUUU